GCGUCCGUAGCUCAGUUGGUUAGAGCACCACCUUGACAUGGUGGGGGUCGGUGGUUCGAGUCCACUCGGACGCC
rnacentral:tRNA from 1 species